UCUGAUUGUUCCUGUUCACUCCGUUCAUGUCUACCCAUUGACGUAUUCAUUUGCUUUAGGAGAAAAGGCGAAAAUAGCUAGAGCAAGGAAGUCGUUACUCCGUACUGAGUCUCCCAAGUUCAUAGCAAGAAAGCUAACACUUUGGAGUUUUGCAGGAACCUGUUUUUGUUGAGAGAAGAUCUUGGAUUUUCCAGAGUGGAAUUUUAAUUUACAAGCCAAAGAUUCUGGCCCCUGAAUGCAAACGCAGCUUCCUGCAAUCUGCAUCUAUCCUGCCUUUGCAAUCCUCGCUCCCAUUAAGUACAAGACAGUUUGUUGUCUUCUGAGUUUUGCUUUAUGCUGCUCCCCUCUCCAGGAGUUCCUUUCCACCUUUCAAGUGCUACAUAUCCUUAAAGCCCAAUUCAUUAUUUCAUUUAACAAAUAUGUACAUUCCUACCCACUGCCA